ACAGCAGUAGCCGCGGUAAUACGUAGGGUGCAAGCGUUAAUCGGAAUUACUGGGCGUAAAGCGUGCGCAGGCGGUUCGGAAAGAAAGAUGUGAAAUCCCAGGGCUCAACCUUGGAACUGCAUUUUUAACUACCGGACUAGAGUAUGUCAGAGGGAGGUGGAAUUCCACGUGUAGCAGUGAAAUGCGUAGAUAUGUGGAGGAACACCGAUGGCGAAGGCAGCCUCCUGGGAUAAUACUGACGCUCAUGCACGAAAGCGUGGGGAGCAAACAGGAUUAGAUACCCGGGUAGUCCCUGUCUCUUAUAC
rnacentral:rRNA from 1 species